GUGACAGAGGCCCCACCUCCGCACGCACGCCUGUAGCUCGGGUUCCGGUUCCUCCUGGGCUUGCUGCCUCCACCUGCAGCGGUCUCCUCCCGGUGAAUUCUGAAGCCUCUGCCGUCGAGGACACCCUGCCCCACGCCCUCUGCCGGGAUCCAGAACCUCAGCUGGGCCGGCUGUCCAGCCCGGCCUCGACCCUCCUGCCAUUUUCAGAUGCUGCUCCGAGACUCGUGUUUCCCAGCCUCCUCUGCCACCCAGACCUCCGGUGACAGGCCAGCCUUCUUCCGACAGAGAGGGUCGUCCCCGAGCCGAGCCGUGCUCCCUGCAUCCCCGGCUGGAGAUUCUCCACCUUCGCUGAGAACCAGUGACGCACACAUCCUACCAGGGCGGGGGACGCGGGCCUGGUCCCCGCAGCCAGCCUCGCGCCCGCAGGUUGUUCUCAGGCGACUGCUGUCGGUGGGCCGUUUUUUUGUUCAGUGCCUUUCUCCACUUCGUUGAAUCGAGGGAGGCGUUAUGAAGAGGCUUCGCUUGUCUAUUUGAGCUACUGCAGUCAGGGUCACACAGCGAAUGUCACCCUGAAAGGGUCCCUGAAGACAUCCGGCCCGAUUUCUGCAUCCUCCAGAGACAGAAGAGCCUGGCAGAGCUCAGCAUUUGCCCCAGGGCACAGGCUGGUCAGCCUGAAGGUGUGAACAAAAACCCAGCUUUCGGCGCCAUCCUGCCAUCCAGUGGCAUGUCUCAAUGAGGAUAUAAAGGCCAAAGUGAAAAUACUUGGAGAACAUUCUCUGCCAACAAGUGGCCUGUAUUUGCAAUUCAAAGGCAGGCAAGUCACUCAGAUAAACCAACAGACUGAACCCCAGAGACAGCAGGUGUAGAUGAUAACGACAUCAAGCGACGUUUACCAGGCGCCAAAAUGUACUGGACACUCACAAAAUCAAGACGGCUUUGUAACGCCCGGCAGAAGUGUCCAUCUGAACCAGGAAGAGGAGGACGCUCUCAGAGAUGAGAGGCGAGUCUCAUGCUGUCCGGGCCAAAUGAAAAGACGGACGAGAGACGAGCCCCGACGGAACAGCCAGCUGCCUCGGAGGGCCCGGCCGCGGAAUUCGAAAGGACCACAGAGGUUUAGGCGCGGGCCUCACUCCCGGCUUGAAGUUCUCGGCAGCGGGAUGACGCACUAAAAGGGGGGGCAGAAGUCGCUCUUUCUCCUUCACGCGGGAAGACGUGGGAAGCACGUUUACAGCAGCUCCCGUGGUGAAGACCACCUCUGAGCAAGCACGGUAUUAACUGUGCCAAAGCUACGCCGUGCUUGAAAGCUAAAGUAUCUCAUUAUGAAGACAGCACCAAGGAAUGUGUGAUUAUAUUAUAAAUAAAUUACCAAAA
ensembl:lncRNA